CGUGAACUGUUUGGGUUUUUUUCUAAAAUUUAAUCUUUGCAGUUAAUGUACUCUGUAUACUAAAAAUUCAUAUUGAUUUUGGAUAGAAUUUCACAUUUAAAAACAAAUAGAUAUGCGCCAAGUCCUUAGGAAUCAACCCCACCCCCACCCCUCCACACGGGACUUUUUUUUGGAUGAUUGGACCGUAUCCCCCUUUUCAUCUGUCUCCCUACUUUGAAGUUUUUUUCCCAACGCCAUGACAUAAAUAGAUAAAUAAAUAAAAUGCAAAAAUAAAAACGAAAGAUAUAUAUGUAUUCGGAUUGGCAAGUUCCACUUUGUCCGGGUUGAAAUCCCCGAGGAUGCAAAUGUACAUUACGCCGCACUGUUUGCAGUACGCACAUGGUACAGGUGUACCACAUAGUGGUCUUCAACUUUUAAUCUCCAAGAAGGAAAUGUAAUUAAAAGAUGAAUAAAGUAUCCCUAAGAAUACCAGAAGAAAGGCUAUGUGUUGAGAAAAACAGCCCUUCCUCAGUACCUCAGAACUAGAUGAUAGCCCUUAAUUGUUACUUUAUGCUGAAUAUGACACAAUAUAGAAGAUCUGAUCAUGAAGAAGUAACACCAUUGAUACACUUGCCAACUGCCAAAAUUACUUUCUGAUAGUAUGACGAGAUUAGAAGAUAUCAUGGUGUAGUCAUGACACAAACUGCAAAAUCAAAGAAUUAAUUGUCUUCCCCAGAGGAUGAACAGAGCAAGAUGGCUUCACAUGGAUAACAUUUCCUUUCGAGUUUUGAAAUUAAUUUGUCAGAAUGUUAUGCAUCGUUAUCAACAGAAAAGAACUUCAUAGGUAGACCAAAGCUGACAUGGGAUGAGAUCCUAGAACAAGACCUAGAGUUUACAGGAUUGGAUAGGAUCAAUCCACUGGGUCGCCAAGUGUGGAAGUACAAACUUCAACCUCGACAGGACAGCCAGGCCUCACCCUUGCAAAAAGAUUAAUUUGGCCUGGAUAGUCAAAAUGAGUGAUGAUGAUUGAUAUCAAGGUCUGACACUGGAAGCUCAGUAAGGGUAGAUGCUGGCAAUGGAGCUGUUUAGCAAUAAAACAAACAAGUUUAACAUUAAACAUGUUUGUAUACUUUUUUGGCUCACCUGAGCCAAAGGCUCAAGUGAGCUUUUCUGAUCACCUUUGCCUGUCGUCUGUCUGUUUAUAAACUUUUCACAUUUUCAUUUUCUUCUCCAGAGUGAACCACUGGGCCAGUUUCAAUCAAACUUGGUAUGCAUCAUCAAUAGAUAAAGGGUAUUCAAGUUUGUUCAUAUAAAGGGUCAUGCACCCUUCAAAAAGGAAAUAAUCAUGGAAAUGCAAAAAUAGGGUGGAGUCAUUUAAAAAAACCUUUUCAAGAACCACUGGACCAGGAAAGUUGAAUUCACACGAAAGGUUCCUGUUUUGUGCAAAUCAUGGUCUCUGGGGGUAGGGUGGGGUCACAAUAGAGAAUCAAAGUUUUACAUUCAUAUAUAGUGCAUAUUCAAGUUUGUAAAAAGCUCACAGGGGUAGGGUGGGGGUCACAAUAGGGGAUUUAAGUUUUACAUGUGAAAUAUAUACAAGGAAAAUCUUUUAAAAUCUUCUCCUCAAAAACUAGAUGCAGAACCGUAGCUCUUUGAAAAGAGAGCUUCAGAUGAACCCCUUAUAAAAAAAACUUCAAUUUAUGGCAGAGAAAAAAAGUGCAUGUUUAAGUCCCUCUAUCACUGCAUUCCUGCAUCGCUGUCUCAUGAAUUUAAUAUUAAAUAAUUCCCAACAUAUUUUCCCACUAUACUUGUUUCCAAACAUACUUUCAAAUAUUUUCUAAACCCACAUAUAACCCCAAAACAGCUUCAAGUGAUUUCAAUUUCUUUGUUGAUGUAGCCAUGUUAAGUAGCCAGUCAAUUUGAACCCCAGUUCAUUUCCAUACUCAUACUCAUUUUGAAACAUAAUGUCUGUGUGAACUAAUAUCCUCACAAAUAUUUUUAGUGAAAUAUUUAGGAUGAAAUCAUCCCAGUUGGGUUAAAUACUUAUUAUUCAAAUACUGUAGGUUUGAAUAUUGAACUAAUCUCACAGCUUUCUUAAGUUUGGUCCCCAUCCCCACCAGUCUGUUUUUACGCUUAACUAUGGAAAUGGGGUGUAAGGGAUCAGACUAGGCUUUUAUAGCAUUAUCAAUUUUCAAAAGCUUUAGAAAAAUUAUACAAUUUUAGGUCACUUGAGUAAACUCAGAUGACAUAUUGCUAUUGAUCUGCAUCUGUUGUAGUCCGUCGACAUUAACAAUUGAACAUUUUUAACUAAAUUCUAUAACUGAAAGAUGAAGAUACCGCACAGCGAUCAAUCUACGAUUCAAAUAACGGAAUUCUUUUCAAAUUUAGUAUGAAGCACACAAAUUUACAUUAAACCUUCUUGACAUAGUGCAUAUUCAAGUUUGUUAAAAUCAUUUCCCCGGGAGUUAUGGUGUGGUAACAAUAGGGGGUCAAAGUUUUAUAUGCUAGCUGAUAUAAAGGAAAAUUCUUUAAAGAUAUCUCUUGAACUAUUUAAGCUAGGGCUUUCAUAUCUUGUAUAUACAAUUUUUAUGGCAAAACAAAUCUGACCUAUUCAGUAUGUCCUGAACUACAUUGUGUUUAAGGUAGAUCUUUCAUAUAUAUUAUAUAUUAUGAAUUUCUUAUGAUAAAACCUUUCAUCUUGUUGAGGAGCCUCUCACCUCUGGUUGGCGCGGGUUUGAAUCCUGCUCGCACCGGUAAUUGAGAAAGUUUCCCAGUUUACUCUCGGAAGGUCGGUGGUCUCUUCCCAGGUACAUUGUAUUUGGGUUCUCUCUUCCACCAAUAAAAACUGGGCACCACCAGAUAACUGAAAAAUUGUUGAGUGUGGCGGAAAACAGUUAAAACAAUCAAUCAUAUUAUGUUAUUUGACCUUGUGACCCUGAACUCUGAGUUUGACAUACUUUUAAGAAAGUAUAACGUAUUAAGUAUAUCCAGGACUAUUUUAGAUAGGGCAUUUAUGUUUUGUAUAUUGAUUACUUAUGGCAAGGUCUUUCAUAUCAUACCAAGACCUACGACUUUUUACCUUGGUCUUAUCCAGAACAGCAAUAUCAUGCUAGUCAUAUCUUUGUCUUAUAUGAUUUCAUUUUAGUAAUGUUGUGUUCUUUAGAGCUAGGUUUGGGUCACAUUAUUCAUGAGAAUAAAGAUUGAUAAAAUAGCAUUUAAAAAUCAAAACAGCAGGGCCAAGAUGACUCAGGUGAGCGAUGUGGCCCAUGGGCCUCUUGUUGAUUUUGAUAUUUCUACCUAUAUCAUUUGUAUGAGAAAUGGAACUCCUUUUUUUCUUUUACAAAUACAUGUAUUAUCAUAUGGAUCCAUCUUUGUUGAUUAUUUAAUCAAAGGACAUAUUCAAUUCAUUCAAUGUAUUAAAUGUAAAUUUAUGGAUAUGUCUGUGGUUGAAUUACUUAUGUAUGUAUGUAUACAUUUUUCUCGCACAUGCAAUUACAUAUAUGAUGUAUAUAUAUUUACUAAUUGUACAUGUAAUAUCCCCUGUUAUAUAAUAAAAUAUAUGACUGAGAAUAAAA